rnacentral:rRNA from 1 species
CCUACGGGCGGCAGCAGUGAGGAAUAUUGGUCAAUGGACGAGAGUCUGAACCAGCCAAGUAGCGUGAGGGAAGACUGCCCUAUGGGUUGUAAACCUCUUUUAUGCGGGGAUAAAGGUGUCCACGUGUGGAUGUUUGCAGGUACCGCAUGAAUAAGGACAGGCAAAUUCCGUCCCAGCAGCCGCGGUAAUACGGAAGGUCCGUGCGUUAGCCGGAUUUAUUGGGUGUAAAGGGAGCGUAGGCCGGUCUUUAAGCGUGCCGGGAAAUUUUGUGGCUCAACCAUUAGAACGCGGCGCGAACUGGAGACCUUGAGUGCGCGGAAGGCAGGCGGAAUUCGUGGUGUAGCGGUGAAAUGCUUAGAUAUCACGAAGAACCCCGAUUGCGAAGGCAGCCUGCCGCAGCGUUACUGACGCUGAAGCUCGAAAGCGCGGGUAUCGAACAGGAUUAGAUACCCCUGUAGUC